rnacentral:rRNA from 1 species
UACGAAGGGUGCAAGCGUUACUCGGAAUUACUGGGCGUAAAGCGUGCGUAGGUGGUUUGUUAAGUCUGAUGUGAAAGCCCUGGGCUCAACCUGGGAAUGGCAUUGGAUACUGGCGAGCUAGAGUGCGGUAGAGGGUAGUGGAAUUCCCGGUGUAGCAGUGAAAUGCGUAGAGAUCGGGAGGAACAUCUGUGGCGAAGGCGACUACCUGGACCAGCACUGACACUGAGGCACGAAGGCGUGGGGAGCAAACAGG